rnacentral:rRNA from 1 species
GAUUCCCGUUACCCGUUAUAGCCAUUGUAGGCGCAUAACCUACAAUCGAGAGCUGAUAAGGCAGACACUUGAAAGAUGCGGCGCCGGCGCGGGGGCCGUGCGCUCAGCUAAAAGUUAUUCAGAGUCACCACUGAGGGGGUUUGACCUCCCGGGGGAGGACGGGUUUUGAUCUAAUAAAAGCGCUCUUCCACGCGGGGGCGCGUCGGAGCUACUGGUCGGCAUGUAUUAGCUCUAGAAUUACCACAGUUAUCCAAGUAAGAAAGGGUAGGAUCCAAUGAACCAUAACUGAUUUAAUGAGCCAUUCGCGGUUUCGCCUUCCUUAGGCCUGUACUUAGACAUGCAUGGCUUAAUCUUUGA